UACGGAGGGGGCUAGCGUUGUUCGGAAUUACUGGGCGUAAAGCGCACGUAGGCGGAUUGUUAAGUCGGGGGUGAAAUCCUGGAGCUCAACUCCAGAAUUGCCUUCGAUACUGGCUUUCUAGAGGCUGGAAGAGGUUAGUGGAAUUCCCAGUGUAGAGGUGAAAUUCGUAGAUAUUGGGAAGAACACCAGUGGCGAAGGCGGCUAACUGGUCCAGAUCUGACGCUGAGGUGCGAAAGCGUGGGGAGCAAACAGG
rnacentral:rRNA from 1 species